CUACGGGGUGCUGCAGUAGGGAAUCUUGCGCAAUGGACGAAAGUCUGACGCAGCAACUCCGCGUGGAGGAAGACGGUCUUCGGAUUGUAAACUCCUUUUAUGAGGGAAGAAAAAUAUUCAAAUUGACGGUACCUCAUGAAUAAGCCACGGCUAAAUACGUGCCAGCAGCCGCGGUAAUACGUAUGUGGCAAGCGUUACUCGGAAUCACUGGGCGUAAAGCGUACGUAGGCGGAUACGUAAGUCAGAAGUGAAAAUUCGGGGCUCAACCUCGAACCUGCUUUUGAAACUGUGUAUCUUGAGUAUCAGAGGGGUAGAUGGAAUUCUUGGUGUAGCGGUGGAAUGCGUAGAUAUCAAGAAGAACACCAGAGGCGAAGGCGGUCUACUGGCUGAAUACUGACGCUGAUGUACGAAAGCGUGGGGAGCGAACAGGAUUAGAUACCCCGGUAGUC
rnacentral:rRNA from 1 species